AACGCGAAGAACCUUACCAACCUUUGACAUGUCCAGUAUGGGUUUGGGAGACCAGACCCUUCAGUUCGGCUGGCUGGAACACAGGUGCUGCAUGGCUGUCGUCAGCUCGUGUCGUGAGAUGUUGGGUUAAGUCCCGCAACGAGCGCAACCCUCAUCUUCAGUUGCCCCCGGGUUAGGCCGGGCACUCUGAAGAAACCGCCGGUGACAAGCCGGAGGAAGGCGGGGAUGACGUCAAGUCCUCAUGGCCCUUACAGGUUGGGCUACACACGUACUACAAUGGUGGUGACAGUGGGCUGCGAAGUCGCGAGACGGAGCCAAUCCCCAAAAGCCAUCUCAGUUCAGAUUGCACUCUGCAACUCGAGUGCAUGAAGUUGGAAUCGCUAGUAAUCGCAGAUCAGCACGCUGCGGUGAAUACGUUCCCGGGCCUUGUACACACCGCUAGUC
rnacentral:rRNA from 1 species